rnacentral:rRNA from 1 species
UUUCCUACGGGGCGCAGCAGGGAGGAAUAUUGGUCAAUGGGCGCAAGCCUGAACCAGCCAAGUCGCGUGAGGGAAGACGGCCCUACGGGUUGUAAACCUCUUUUGCCGGGGAGCAAGCCUGAGCACGUGUGCCCAGGCGGAGAGUACCCGGAGAAAAAGCAUCGGCUAACUCCGUGCCAGCAGCCGCGGUAAUACGGAGGAUGCGAGCGUUCUCCGGUUUUAUUGGGUUUAAAGGGUGCGUAGGCGGUCCGUUAAGUCAGCGGUAAAAUUGCGGGGCUCAACCCCGACGAGCCGUUGAAACUGGG